rnacentral:rRNA from 1 species
AUUGAACGCUGGCGGCAUGCUUUACACAUGCAAGUCGGGCGGCAGCGCGGGGGCAACCCUGGCGGCGAGCGGCGAACGGGUGAGUAACACAUCGGAACGUGCCCAAUCGUGGGGGAUAACGUAGCGAAAGCUACGCUAAUACCGCAUACGAUCUACGGAUGAAAGCGGGGGAUCGCAAGACCUCGCGCGAAUGGAGCGGCCGAUGGCAGAUUAGGUAGUUGGUGGGGUUAAAGGCUCACCAAGCCGACGAUCUGUAGCUGGUCUGAGAGGACGGACCAGCCACACUGGGACUGAGACACGGCCCAGACUCCUACGGAGGCAGCAGUGGGAA